UCUCGCUCUUUCCUCUCCUUCUCCAAUCGUCUCUCUAUCUCGGUCCCUCUUUCUUUUCAUAACCAAGAACAACUACCAUAACAAAAUUGGUAUGAUUUCAGCUAGAGAACCAAAAAUCAAAACCAGAUCUAACAAAAAACCCCACAAAUCAAAUACUAAUCCUAACCCCAUCUCAAAAUCAAAUCCCGUGUAUCAUAUCUAAAAGAGAACCCCUCUUUUGUAACCCUAGAUUCAUUUUAUUUUCUCCCAAAAUCAAUAUCAAACCUUCAUCUUAUUUAAGCUCGGUCGUUUACUGUAUGAGAGGGAGAGACAAAUCCUGCAUAUCUAAACAACUCUCAUCACCGAAUCACGCCUGAUUUCAAACCUAAUCAUAACCGCGUCUAAGAAUCAAAACCCAUCUCAGAAACAGAACCAUAUUCCUUUAAUAUCCCCUAAUUUUGUAACUCUUGAUCUGGUUAAUUUUUCUCUUUUAAUCGAAGCAAACCUUCAUCUCAUAUUUUACAGAGCUGAAGGGUACAAGAAGAAGACUUCAGUUUAAUGGUGUUUUAACUGUUGGUGAGUGGUGUUGAUGGUGUGGGUGGUUCUGUUGGUGGUGGUAGCAGGUGUUGGUCGUGCGGUUAGUUCUACAGGUUUUUGGGUUUAGUUGGUGGUGGUGGUGCAUCAUUUGUUUGGUGCUGUUUGCUCUGUGCUCAGGCACAUGGUGCAAGUUUUCAGUUUCUUGACCACGUAUUAUGUAUAUAUCGUAAAUGCAUUAUUACGUGUUCAAGAACAUGAGAACCCGCAUGUUUAUACUUCCGUGAAUGUUGAGAAGAUCAGACAAAAACAAAAAAGCAGAGAUAAUUAGAUUUUGGGGGUUCUCAAGCACAACAACUGCGGGGUGUGUGGGUGAGAAACGAGUUUAAACCCUAAAUAAUGUACUUUAAGGGAGUACUUUAGAUUCGAGAGAUCAAUCUGUACAAAUCCGGCCUACAUUAAGAAAUGGUCGUUCCAGACUUGCUUCGGUCACAAAGUGAAGGAGAAGGGUUGGUUUUUGGGAGGAAAGAGAAGAGAGUGUUGAGAUCAGAAUAGUUGAUUCUGGAAGAGUAGUUGUUUCACGACUUGUAUCAGAAAGUGGGAAGAUAACAGAUGGAAAGCUAGCAAAUAUUUUAUGAGUGUUGUAUCCUCCUGACCUGAACUUGUUGUUCGGAAAGCGAAACGUAUUCUGGUCUCAUAAGAAAUGGAAAAAAGAUGAGUAAAUGAGAGGAGGUGGUAACCGGUAACGCCUGGAAUUGAUGUUCUAUAAAAGAAAGCGUUUCACCAUUACUCCCUGUAUUUACUAACCGCCUCAUCCUUAUAACACCGUCUUAUAACGGGCAUAGUGUACGCCGCACGCUGUAAACCGUCAAACCAAUACACAAUGAGCAUCCCCCAGUUU